AGCAAAAGGAAGAUAAUGAUAAAACAUUCAAAAUUCUGAAAAUAUCUUUGAUACACUAAAAUUUUAAUACGCACCGAUUAUAAUUAAAGUAGGUUAUAAUUGUAAAAGAACAAUUAUGAAGAACUUUAAAAAAAUUAAAAAGAAAAGAAAAAAGUUUAACAGACCCCACUCCAGAGCAGUUGCUCUUCCUAUCAGUUUCUUCUGGCACGUUCUAUUCAAAAAAGAUGAAAGCAAAACUGAAACCAUCCAAAACCCACCAUGGCCCUCAAACUUGGAAACGCAUUUCCUCCCCUCCCAUGUUUCGCAGAGCAAGAAUCCUCAUCUACUCACGGCAUAAAAAGGGAGGAAGAUUGAAGGAAAAAGAGCUGAAGCAAUCAAUAUUGGAACCCCCAGUGUGCUCAUCAAUCUGUAUUUGUAAGAUGUUGCAGUGUAUGAGAGAGGCAAGAAAAUUAUGGUAUGAUGCUGUUAAAACCGAUCGACGUUUACUCAGAUUCUAAAUCAGACGGUCCAUCUCGCAUCACCAACCCUCAGUCUCAGGUAAUAUGACGCCCUGCCUCUGCUUCUUUCAUAUUUGAACUGUUUCCUCUGUAAGGGUUUAGUUGGAUUAUUCACUUGCAUAUAUUCAGCUUAGCAUUCCAAGUGUUUGCUAAAAUGCCAAAGUUGAUUUUAGUUUGAACACUUUGUUGGUCGGUUUUAUUUUGUAUUAUCUAAUUUAGCUUUGUAAAUAAGAAUUGGGAAAUGAACAGAAAUUAGAAAAGCUUAGUUCUUUAUAAUAAAACUAAUUUCAAUGAACGCAACAAUUCCAUAAUGAGGGUGAAAAUGAAAUUAGAAGUGAGAACAGUGAAGAGAUUUGUACGUUGUAUCAAUUUGUAAGAUUGUUUAGUGUUGGUGAAAUUUUGUCUUUUUAGUUCUUUUUCUUUGUUAUAUUGACUUUUUGAAUAAUAGUUUCAUGUACGAGUAUGCGAUGCUUCAAGAUGCCAAUUACGGUCAAGUUUUCAUGUGUUUAGGCUUGCACAAAACUUAAGUAUUUCUUCCUAGGAUUCAUGUUAUAUGGAUAUUAGCCUCUCACCCUGUGCUUUGCAUGCUUGAGACCUUUUCAACAGAACCGAAGUUUGAGAAAACUGUUGGAAUCAGUGGAGUGGGGAAUAAAUUUUAAAACUCAACGAUGUGUGGUCCAGUCAUUAGUUCAAGAACUCAAAGUCCAGAAUUGCUUCAAUGACUCCGGUUCCAUGCUUUCUGUUUAUUAAUCUUCAAUAUGCAGAGCAUCAAUUCUUUAAAUGAUGGAAUCGCCUCUCACCUCGCACUCUCUGACGCAUAAUGGUUCCAGAAGACGCAGAGGAAACUAUAUUUAAGGAAUUAAAAGCAAAAUGAGGAUCAGAGUUGGAGGGAGUUCAAGAAUAACAUGAAAGCAAAACAAAAGGGAAGCAUCAUGGUGAGUGAUAAGCACUGAUCAUGACUUCUUCGAGCAGUGAACCAAAGUCGCUCUUCUUCAUGGACAAGUCUAAAGGUUAUUUCAUAUGGAUGCUAGAAGGGACAUAAUUUUCUGUGGUGGCAAUUACACUAUCCAAUUUGCUGCAUGAGGCUACCAAAGAAGAUAGUAGCAGGAGGGCAUAAAAGUGCUGCCGGAGGAGGUUUAUGUACAAGCAGUAGCUAAAAGGAUUUUAAUUGUCAUGAAUUUUUUGUUUAUUCUUUUCCUUUUUCAAUGGUUGCAAUACUAGCUUCUUUUUUUUUUUUUUUUUUGUUGGUCAACAUUGCAAUACUAGCUUCAAUUACUAUAUUUUGGUGUAACGAGUUUUGUUUUAAAUAAAGACUUAUUCAAUUACAUCUGUUCCAAAUUCGGUUCAAUGGUUAACAAUGAUAAUUGUUAUCAAUAAAUACAAAGAGGAA